rnacentral:rRNA from 1 species
UACGGAGGGAGCUAGCGUUGUUCGGAAUUACUGGGCGUAAAGCGCGCGUAGGCGGCUUUGUAAGUUAGAGGUGAAAGCCCGGGGCUCAACUCCGGAAUUGCCUUUAAGACUGCAUCGCUAGAAUCCGGGAGAGGUGAGUGGAAUUCCGAGUGUAGAGGUGAAAUGCGUAGAUAUCUGGAGGAACACCGGUGGCGAAGGCGGCAUCCUGGACCGGUAUUGACGCUGAGGCGCGAAAGCCAGGGGAGCAAACGGG